CAAGUUAUUCUAAAGAUGGGAAUUUCAUUUACAUUGAAAUAUUUUAUUGUGCAAUUCAAUAUAGCUUGA
rnacentral:tRNA from 1 species